rnacentral:rRNA from 1 species
AUACGGAGGGUGCAAGCGUUAUCCGGAAUCACUGGGCGUAAAGGGCGCGUAGGUGGUCUGUUAAGUCUGGCGUUAAAGCCUGGGGCUCAACCCCAGAUCAGCGUUGGAUACUGGCAGGCUAGACGGUUGGAGAGGCGAGUGGAAUUACCAGUGUAGCGGUGGAAUGCGUAGAUACUGGUAGGAACACCCAUUGCGAAGGCAGCUCGCUGGACAACACGUGACACUGAGGCGCGAAAGUGUGGGGAGCAAACCGGAUUAGAUACCCGGGUAGUCCACACCCUAAACGAUGCAUACUUGGUAUUGGCCCGUUGGGGUCAGUGCCGGAGCUAACGUGUUAAGUAUGCCGCCUGGGAAGUACGGCCGCAAGGUUGAA